UACGUAGGGGGCAAGCGUUGUCCGGAAUCAUUGGGCGUAAAGAGCGCGUAGGCGGCCCUGUAAGUCCGCUGUGAAAGUCAAGGGCUCAACCCUUGAAUGCCGGUGGAUACUGCAGGGCUAGAGUCCGGAAGAGGCGAGUGGAAUUCCUGGUGUAGCGGUGAAAUGCGCAGAUAUCAGGAGGAACACCGAUGGCGAAGGCAGCUCGCUGGGACGGUACUGACGCUGAGGCACGAAAGCGUGGGAGCAAACAGG
rnacentral:rRNA from 1 species